rnacentral:tRNA from 1 species
GGGCCUAUAGCUUAGUCCGGUAGAGCACUCGACAUAUUUGGGUGAAGCUCUUAACCGAGUGGUCGGGGGUUCGAAUCCCUCUGGGCCCA